UCCGGUUUGUCACCGGCAGUCUCGCAUGAGUCCCCAACUAAAUGCUGGCAACAUGCGACGGGGGUUGCGCUCGUUGCGGGACUUAACCCAACAUCUCACGACACGAGCUGACGACAGCCAUGCACCACCUGUGACCGCGCCCCGAAGGGAGGCCGUGUUUCCACGGCUGUCACCGACAUGUCAAGCCCAGGUAAGGUGGGGAUGACGUUUACGUGCACUU
rnacentral:misc_RNA from 1 species